rnacentral:lncRNA from 1 species
AAGGGCAAAGGAGAUCCUAAGAAGCCGAGAGGCAAAAUGUCCUCAUAUGCAUUCUUUGUGCAAACCUGCCGGGAGGAGCACAAGAAGAAGCACCCGGAUGCUUCUGUCAACUUCUCAGAGUUCUCCAAGAAGUGCUCAGAGAGGUGGAAGACCAUAUCUGCUAAAAAAAAGAGGGGGGGGGGAAUUUGAAGAUAUGGCAAAGGCUGACAAGGCUCGUUAUGAAAGAGAAAUGAAAACCUACAUCCCCCCCCCCAAAGGGGAGACCAAAAAGAAGUUCAAGGACCCCAAUGCACCUAAAAGGCCUCCUUCGGCCUUCUUCUUGUUCUGUUCUGCGUACUGCCCCAAAAUCAAAGGCGAGCAUCCUGGCUUAUGCAUUGGUGAUGUUGCAAAGAAACUAGGAGGGAUUUGGAACAACACUGCAGCAAAUGACAAGCAGCCCUAGGAGAAGAAAGCUGCCAAGCUGAAGGAGAAGUAAGAGAAGGAUAUUGCUGCCUACAAAGCUAAAGGAAAACCUGAUACAGUGAAAAAGGGGAUGACCAAGGCUUUAAAGAGCAAGAAAAAGAAGGAAGAGGAAGAUGAGGAGGAGGAUGAAGAGGAUGAGGAAGAGGAGGAAGAAGAGGAAGAUGACGACAAAGAAGAUGAUGAAUAA